rnacentral:misc_RNA from 1 species
AACCUUAUGGACCUGCGGGCGUAUACCUGCGGAAGGAUCAUUACCGAGUUUACAAACUCCCAACCCUAUGUGAACCUUACCAAUCGUUGCUUCGGCGGGCUUAGCCCCCGCGCCCUCGCCGGCGCCGGGAGAAAGGCGCCCGCCGGGGACCCCAAACCCAAUGUUUUUCAUGCAGUAUUUCUGAGUGGCAAACGCAAAAAUAAAUCAAAACUUUUAGCAAUGGAUCUCAGAUCGGAAGAG